CAAAAACAUCGCCUCUUGAACCCUUAUAAGAGGUCCAGCCUGCCCAGUGACUCUGUUCAACGGCCGCGGUAUCCUAACCGUGCGAAGGUAGCGUAAUCACUUGUUCUUUAAAUGUGGACUAGUAUGAAUGGCAUCACGAAGGUUAUACUGUCUCCUUUUUCUAAUCAGUGAAACUAAUCUCCCCGUGAAGAAGCGAGGAUAAAACUAUAAGACGAGAAGACCCUAUGGAGCUUUAAACAUUUAUAACACUUGCUAAAUAAAAUACAAAUUUCAGAAUUAUUUACUCUUUAAGCAACUUGUCUAUAAGUUUUUGGUUGGGGUGACCGCGGAGCAUAAUACAACCUCCAUGUUGAAAGAUCUAUUUCUAAGCUAAGAGCUACACCUCUAAGCAUCAACAUAUUGACAUCCAUUGACCCAAUAUAUUUGAACAACGAACCAAGUUACCCUAGGGAUAACAGCGCAAUCCACUUCAAGAGCUCCUAUCGACAAGUGGGUUUACGACCUCGAUGUUGGAUCAGGGUUUCCCAGUGGUGCAGCC
rnacentral:rRNA from 1 species